GUUGCAUUAAAGAAAUUAUUAUAUUUCAGGAAAAAUUUAUUGAAAUAAACUUUGCACAAUAAUAUCGGAUAAAAUAAAAUGUGGUGUGAUUGCCUGAUACCGAAGAAACCACUUUAAAUCCGCUAUAAUAUAUACUUUCACAAUAUAUACUACUUUCAUAUACUAUAUAGAUACUUCCACUCUAGAGUAGGGGGCUAUAUGCAAUCACCUUGUAUAAAAAUCCGUCUGUUUGUCCAUUUGCCUGUUAAAUAUUUUUGUCAAACACUAUACAGCUACUUCAAAAUUAAUGUGCGGAAUGACCCAUACUUGGCCACCAGCUUAACUGUGCGUGAUGAGUUGUAAUGUGUGAAUAUAAAAAAGAAGAUUUGGAUGAUUGCCAAUGACAAUAGACCAAAAUAACUUGGAAAUUAAAAAUUAAUUUAUAGGUAACCGUAUGAUCUUCAAAAAUGAGCAAAGCCCAUACAGCGAAGUCAGCUUUAAAAGGCCCUGAAAUGACAAUGUAAAACAGUUCAAUCGAGAAAACUAAAGGCCUUAUUUAUAUAAAAAAAAAAUGAACGAAAAACCAAUAUGCAACACAUAAGACAACGACAACCACUGAAUUACAGGCUCCUAACUUGGGACAGACACAUACAUACAUUUUUAUACUUUAUGUGGUGGGGUUAAACAUGUUAGCAGGAUCCCAUCCCUCCCCCUAACCUGGGACAGUGGUAUAACAGUACAACAUAAAAACGAACUGUUAAAAUCAGUUCAAAAAGGCUUAACUCAUCAGAUGGACAAACAUUUAUACAAGUGGACAUGGCCGGG
rnacentral:lncRNA from 1 species